CAUGACCUCAUCUAUGAAUUAUCUGUUGAUCUAACUAUCUCUUAAUCUUUUUUCUCAGAUUUUAGUUACCCAUUGCUUACACAAUGAUAGUAAGACCAAUUGCAGGGAUGUGUUGAUCCUGGUCUUGUUCUGUAUGGAGGUAGGGUGCAGUUGAUGUUUCAUGUUUGGUGAAAGAAAAGGAGCUUCCUAUGUUGAUUUCGGGCAAGACAUACAUUCUGCCAUGCAUUAGUAGAUCAAUUGCUUCUCUGUGUAGGGGAACGAUUAGUGAUUGAAUCUCUCGGUCAUGUUUCUUGAUCAUCCAAUUAAUUUACCCCCAUCUAUGCAUAAAUUGGUCUGAUUGAGUUAUGCCAUUUUUUAUGUAAUAAUCUAUAUUGGUCCUAUAUAUGACUAGAACAAUAUGAUACGAUGCACAUCGGUCCGCUUUACUGGCAUCUAUCUUUCAAGGUGAAGGAGGGGAGGCACUCGUGUGGAGCUGCUCAAUGUUCAAGGAGAUACGGCUGAUUAAACCAGGAGACUUUUUACAGGAGGUUCUUAUAAAAUGAUAGUUGAACAAGUACAGAUUUUGGAUCACGAUCAUCUAUUUACUAGGCAUCCAUCAAAAUCUAGCAUUCUUUGUUGUGUGCCGCAUGGAAAAGACAGAGAUUGUCUGUCCAAUCAAGACAAUUUGCAACUUUGGUGUCGUGACGUUGGAGGCUGUGCUCAGCGGCAAUGGGGGACUGUUCUUGAUGCCCGACCUAAGAUGCCGGCGAAGGAACGAGAGUCAACGAGGAGUGCACGCCAUGGGUUCAUGAACUGGCCAAGCCACCGUUGUUCGUUUGGUAAUGUCCGACGCAUCAGAGGCAUAGUAUGACUUGCGCCGAUUUUGACGUCAUCUACCAACAUCCGACGAAGGGGAACCAGUCCCGAUUUCCAUCUUGAUGGCCAUUGGUGAACAUGACAAUGCGGCUGUUGGUCCCGGAUGCCGGGGGCGUGGGCAGGGUUGAGGAGCUCACACGGUGCUAUACAUGACAACCUGCGAGUGGUGGCUGGAGGUGGUGUGUCUGCUGCUUGGUUGGAAGUCCGACAUAAAGUCCCACGACCGACUGGUAAGCAUGGUACGUACCCAACCGCCAAACUAUCUUCUUUCACCUCCUUCAUGUGUAGGACUUAAACUUCACUGCACCUCCUUGGGAGAGGAACAAAAGAGAGUAGUAAAGAGCUGUAUAGAGAUAGCAAGGGAUUGAGAGGCUACUGCUAUUUGUAUUGCAGUUGAUGCUUGCACAAUGCUAUUGCUUAUGAUACUGGGGUAUUCAUCUUUGGGAUAAAAACAAUCAU